rnacentral:rRNA from 1 species
GCUUAACCGGAGAAGUGCAUCGGAAACUGGAUAACUUGAGUGCAGAAGAGGGUAGUGGAACUCCAUGUGUAGCGGUGGAAUGCGUAGAUAUAUGGAAGAACACCAGUGGCGAAGGCGGCUACCUGGUCUGCAACUGACGCUGAGACUCGAAAGCAUGGGUAGCGAACAGGAUUAGAUACCCUGGUAGUCCAUGCCGUAAACGAUGAGUGCUAGGUGUUGGAGGGUUUCCGCCCUUUAGUGCCGGAGCUAACGCAUUAAGCACUCCGCCUGGGGAGUACGACCGCAAGGUUGAAACUCAAAGGAAUUGACGGGGGCCCGCACAAGCGGUGGAGCAUGUGGUUUAAUUCGAAGCUACGCGAAGAACCUUACCAGGUCUUGACAUCUUGCGCCAACCCUAGAGAUAGGGCGUUUCCUUCGGGAACGCAAUGACAGGUGGUGCAUGGUCGUCGUCAGCUCGUGUCGUGAGAUGUUGGGUUAAGUCCCGCAACGAGCGCAACCCUUGUUACUAGUUGCCAGCAUUAAGUUGGGCACUCUAGUGAGACUGCCGGUGACAAACCGGAGGAAGGUGGGGACGACGUCAGAUCAUCAAGCCCCUUAUGACCUGGGCUACACACGUGCUACAAUGGACGGUACAACG